AGGCAGAACGCAAAUUUCUAUUUCCUGUUAUCUGAUGCAAGAUGAAACUGAUUAAAUUAGGCAAAUUCAGCAAAAUCAUCACCUCUCUUUCUACAAGCAUUCACGCCCUGUAAAUUCUUUUCCACAUCUUCGUAAAACAUAGAUAUGUCAAAACAAAUCUGCGCAAUAUGUGAAAGUGAUACGUCCAAGAAGCGCGGAUUUGAAUAUGUUUUCGGAUUUCACUGGAAUUAUGGAGAAAAUUAACAAAAUAGUACGUCCAAUCUUUUCAUUGACGGCAAACCUUUUACAGAAUAUGAACAAACAACUUCAACGUUAGUGUAACUAGGAAAUUUCCUUUACUUUUCUCCAAUUGUUGCAUUCUUUCUUUGAAUCAAUGGAUGCAUUGAAAAUAAAAAGGUUACUGUAG